rnacentral:ncRNA from 1 species
GUCGGGAGGGCGGCUAAUAAAACACCCGCAAGGGGAAUACGCCCGCCGACUCUUAGCGGUUUCUAACCUCCCGACUUCCCGUC